rnacentral:rRNA from 1 species
UACGGAGGGUGCAAGCGUUAUCCGGAUUCACUGGGUUUAAAGGGUGCGUAGGCGGCAGGUAAGUUAGUGGUGAAAUCUCCGGGCUUAACCCGGAAACUGCCGUUGAUACUAUCUGUCUUGAAUAUCGUGGAGGUAAGCGGAAUAUGUCAUGUAGCGGUGAAAUGCUUAGAUAUGACAUAGAACACCCAUUGCGAAGGCAGCUUACUACACGAUCAUUGACGCUGAGGCACGAAAGCGUGGGGAGCAAACAGG